UGCGUAGGCGGGGCAAUUAGUCAGUGGUGAAAUCCUGCGGCUUAACCGUAGAACUGCCAUUGAUACUGUUGCCCUUGAGUAUAGUUGAGGUGGGCGGAAUGUGUAAUGUAGCGGUGAAAUGCAUAGAGAUUACACAGAACACCAAUUGCGAAGGCAGCUCACUAAGCUAUAACUGACGCUGAGGCACGAAAGCGUGGGGAGCGAACAGGAUUAGAUACCCGAGUAGUCC
rnacentral:rRNA from 1 species